GGAAUGCGGCCCCCCCACCCCCUCCACACACCCGUUUCGGAGUUUCCAGUUUCCCCGCAGCGCAGAUGACCCUGGAGGUGAAGGGUUCCCGGCCGAGGUGCGCUUGGCCGGAGCCGUUUCCCCUCGCUGCCCCCUCGGGAUCGGCUUCGUCUCGCCCAGCCCGGGCGCCCCCCGACCCUCCCCAGGCUCCCCCCUUCACCGCCGUCCCCUUCCUCCCCUCCUCGCCGUGCGCUCUCUCCUCUCCCCUCCUCUCCCUCUUUUCCUUUGUUUGCCAUCUCGCUCCCUGUCUCUGACGCGUACGCAGCUCCAUCCAAGUGCAAGAGUGGGAUUUGCCAGAAUUAUUUCCGAAAAGCUGCCCGGGGAGGGGGGCUGCUGGAAAGGGGGGCUCAUGAACUGCAACCAACUGUGGGGUUAGCUGGCGGAGGAGCUUUUUUGGGGAGGGGGUCCCCGCCUGCCCCGGCUGCAGGGGGCACCGCGGUGAUGGCCAGGGCAGAGCCUGGGAACGGGCGGGAGGUGGGGGCCUGGCCGGGGCCCGAAUGCCAGCACAAUGGAGCAGGAGCUGGGUGUGCGCGCGGGGAAAGACGAGCAAAUCUAAAUAUUUACCGGCUCCAAAGGCAAUAGUGAGAAAAAUAUGGAGCCCUGGGGAGAGGCAGCUCCUCUCCGCGCAUCCCCCUCCGUCCCCGGCCACCGGCGCUGCAGCCGCUGCCCCCCGUGUGCGGGGCAGGAGCCCGGGGGUGCCACCGCCUCCCGUCGGGGUCCCUCUCCCGGUGUGACUCUCGUUUUGGGGCAGCCAUGCUCGGGGGCCGGUGGCCACCCUCUUGCCCGUCCAGCCCUCCUGUCCCCAGGUGUGUCUGUGAUGUCGCAGCCCUGCAGGGCACAUCCCCUGUGUCCCCCCCCACCACCACCCAGAGACCCCCCGGGCACUCCCAAGUGGCCGAGCCCCCGCCCCAGAUGUGGGACUUCCCGCCAGAUGCCUCCCAAAUCCUAAAGCCGGGCUCUGGAGCACGCAGGGACGAUGCUCGGGUCACCUCGGGAGGGGGACGCACGGCGGGGGGACGGUCCCCAUGCUCUGGGGACGUGGUGAGCAGCGUGCUGAGCCGGGUGGUGUGCCCCCCCACCCCCAACUCCCACGGACAGCCCCGUGCCCUGGGACCCCCCCGGCUCGUUCACACCAUGCCUGUGGUCAGCGUCCUCCUCUGGGCCACCCUCCUGACUCUGGGCUGGCGGGCAGCCCACGCCAAGGACUACGUGCCUGCCACCCCCAGGGUGCAGCUCUCCUUCAAAGGUAAGAGCAGAAAUUUGGGGGGGUGGGGGGGGUGGGAGGUGACCCCCGCAGCCCUUUAUGGGGUCACCGUUCUCCGGGCAUCUCCCUGCUGGGAAAUCCCACUGGGAUCCGUGUCCUUGUGGGGUUCCCGUGGUGUCCCCCCCCCCCUCCAGCACAUGGCUGGCGGGGCCAGACAGCAGCUUGACGCCGACCCCAAGCUGGUGUUAAUGCCUGGGGCUG
rnacentral:lncRNA from 1 species